GCUCCCUUAUGUUCAGAUAGUAGGGGUUUGCCUAAUUACACAUCGGGCAGCUUCCCCGGAGUUCAACAGGCAGGCGUUUGUUUUGAACCAAUAUUUAGAGGUCGUGCUGGACGGUGUUCCCAACGUUUUUUGCUGGAGUCAUAAGGGACUCUUACAGCGCGUUUCUACCAGACGGUGUUCAUUUCAAUCGUAGAGCGCAAUACACGCUGUAUCGCAGUUAUCGCGGUGCUAUUCUUAAGACUUUAGCAAGCCUUCCUAGUUGUUAGUCUGUUAUCUUCGGUUGUAUGUCUUUUAUACUUUUAUGUCACCAGAUACUGUAUAAUUUUAUUUAUAUUUCUUCUUGCACGAGGCUACGCCCUCACACUUUGAUUCUGGUGUUGGCUACGUCCACACAGAAUAUGUUUUAUUUGGAGAAGUACUCCAUACUUUAUAAUCCUUGUGAGAUUUUAUUCUCGCUUAUUUGUGAUGGCUACGUCCUCACACGUGUUAAUCUGAGGCUACGUCCUCAUUAUUUCUUAGUGGCGUUUUAUUUGGGCGAGUGGUGCGGCCACUUUGUUGUGUGCCAUGCUCGACCCAGCCUAUAUUUUAGUUUUAUUUUAUCUUGUUAGAUUUUAUACUUCAUAAGCUUUUAGUAUUCUCCCACUACGUUUCUGAGUGUGUUUUUCAGGAAUUUUACCAUGCCCGCCACUCGAAAUCAACGUGCUCAGCGACCAGUAUCGGUAGCCGUACCACCAGCACGCCGUUCCCAUCGCGCUCGAGCGCCCCGUGCCUCAGGAACAACCACGAAGGUUCCUUCAUCCAGUUCUCCUCGGCCAGCAACAGCUGCUCCUCUUGCUCCAGCCUCGGCUAUCACGCCCCAACAGCUCCAAGAGAUCGUCAGCUCCGUAACCGCAGAAGUGACUCGACGCUUGCAAACUGUAGCAACUCCAGUUUCUGGUGUCCACGUAGUCCCAUCGAGUUCUCCUUCUUGACCUGCUGCCUCAGUUGUCCGCAUCUCAGAGUAUGUUGCGACUCCUCCGACGGCUGUGGCGCAACUUGCUGUUUCCAACGCUCUUGGUUCGGCCCACGCCACAAUUUCAGGUGAGACGUACGUUUUUGGCGCCUACUUUUAGCCAUGUUCAACCAACGCAGGAAUAUCACUCUAUUAGUUUACCUAUAGACUGUCGGAUUUCCAUUAAACUUAAAAAUAAAAUUUGGAACGAUGAAUACAUCGAUUUCGGGUCUUUGUUGAGCAAUCCAAUGUCAGAUAACAAAUUUCAUUUGAGCUUUAGCUCUUCUUCCGGUUUACCACACCAUCUCUUUCUGUAGAGCCGAUAAGUAAAGCCAAGAAAAUAACAAAUAUUUCUGUUUGGAUGAGUGCGUUUCGCAUUUUUGUAGGGGUUUAUGCUCAAAAGUAUCCUCAUGAGUCCCCCGCACUCAUGAAAUACGGGGAUAUAGUACAGGACUUGGCAGAUCGGGGUCAAAAUUGGCGGUUCUAUGAUGAAAACUUUCGCUUUUUGCGUCAAACCCAGCGUAGUUUGUUGUCUCGGGCCAAUGUCCAUUGGGAAUUGUGGCUGCGAUCGCAGCAUACUUCGCAAAAAUCACCCAGUACAAUGCAACGUGCCCCGUCUAACCUUUCUGGUAAGGGGCCGCAAAAUUCAAUUCCUCAAGGCUACAGCUUCAAGUUUCACAAAGGAGAGGCUUGUUCUGGGUGUGAAUUUAAACAUUCCUGUUUUAAGUGUGACGGCCUACACCCUGGCCUUAAGUGUAAUUUUCGUGGCCAACGCAGGCCAGAUUUUCCCAGACCAACCCGUAAUUCUGCCAAGUCAGGUGCUGCUCCAAACGCCCAUCAACCUAACUCGGCUUGAGCCAUAUUUAAACGGCUAUUUUUUGUCGUUGCGGAUAAUGAUGCCUAUUGAAGAAUUAAAAACUUCUAGUAAAAAACUCGAACACUAGAAAAAGUACGAAUUUAAAAGUUGGAGCUAUUAAGAAAUGGGCAGCAUUAAUAAAGAAACAUCGGGGAAGGAAUGGAAACCAUAGAUAUCUUAUAUACACUAGAUAGUGCAUCUAAUUAUUCUGCAAUUCAAAAAUUGAAUUAGCCGUGCAUGAUUGCAGUCUGAGGUCGUUCCCAUGAAAUGAGAAGAUUCGUAUGUUUUCUAUUUCUUAAACAGGGAACUUAAACAUUAAGUUAACCCUAUUCCAAAUACGUUUUUAAACUAUUCAAAUGAUGAAAGUUAUUGUUGUUUUUAAGCGUUUAUUAGCAAGUGGGAAAGACCAACGGCCAUCUAUUCAAAUGGAGGUAACCGCUGGAAUAUGCUUGGCUUCAAUUUUACUAAAAGAGAUGCGCUAUCAAGUGUAUAUAAUUAAGGUAUUUAUGAUGGAGACAUACGAGGUUCAAGAACUUGACAAGUUUACAAUUUACUUAACGAAUAAAUUUUGCCCCUAUGAUUAACAAGUAUAAUCGCAUAGUUCCUCGUAAAAUUAAGGUUCAAUUUCACUUGUGUUUUCAAACUUUAAAAACACGAGUGAAUUAACUCAGCCUCAUACAAUUACCUAUACUAAUAUCGAUGGGAAGAACGUGUUACAUUUCUUUCCUAUACAUGCAUUAUAAUUGAAUACGUCACCCCUGUUACGUUUGCGGGCGAGAACGAACAAAAAUGUGUGUCUGCAUCUUCAUCGUUUACGCUCGUUGCCCUCCUUGACCAGACACAGCGACACGCGCUGGCCAAGGAGGCUUUCUCGUAUUUGUAAUAACUUCUUCUGAGUCUUGAAAGUUCUUCAACAACAACAAUUAACUCAACAAUAUCAAUUUAUUAUCUUUAACUAUCUCUUAAUAGAAUAUUUGAAUGAAUGAAUGAAUGAAUCUAGCUUAAGCUUUCGCUGCUUAUAUACUCUCCGAAAGAUAUUAAUAAAACAUUACGUCAUACUAUUUUUAGAUACCACGUAAACGAUAAAUAUAGUAAAGUUAUGACUCAGCAAAAUUACGUAAUGUCUUAAUUAAAUUAAGAUUGUUCAAGACGUGACUGACUUCACGUCACA